CGAAAGCCUUGACGGGAGCAAGACCGCGUGAGGGAGGAAGGCUCUAAGGGUUUGUUAAACCCCUUUUAUCAGGGAAUAAGCAAUGAAGGUACCUGAGGAAUCAGCAUCGGCUAACUCCGUGCCAAGCAGCCGCGGUAAUACGGAGGAUGCAAGCGUUAUCCGGAAUCAUUGGGCGUAAAGCGUCCGCAGGUGGUAGUUCAAGUCGAUUGUCAAAGGCAGUAGCUUAACUACUGACAGGCAGUGGAAACUGAGUCACUAGAGUGCGGUAGGGGUAGAGGGAAUUCCCGGUGUAGCGGUGAAAUGCGUAGAGAUCGGGAAGAACACCAGUGGCGAAAGCGCUCUGCUGGACCAGCACUGACACUGAGGGACGAAAGCUAGGGGAGCG
rnacentral:rRNA from 1 species